rnacentral:tRNA from 1 species
GCUGUUAUAGCUCAGCUGGUAGAGCGCAUCCUUGGUAAGGAUGAGGUCCCCGGUUCAAAUCCGGGUAACAGCUCCA